GAGCCAAGAUGGCGGAGGAAUAGGACCGGGAGACCACUUUUCCCCCUACAAAUUCAUCCAAAGAACUAUUGAACGCUGAGCAAAUUUCACAAAACAACUUCUGAUCGCUAGCAGAGGACAUCAGGCGCCCAGAAAAGCAACCCAUUGUCUUCGAAAGGAGGACCGGAAAUAGCCAC